rnacentral:lncRNA from 1 species
UUUUGUAGUCCUCUUUUUUUGGUACUUUUCUUCUUCUUCUUGAACCGGAUUUAGCAGCCAGUGGUUUGGGAUAUUUUUCAGCUUCACUUGAGUCCAACCAACUGAGAGGAUUGCGAUUAUAGACGGGCCAGUUAGAGAUGGUGACAAGGGCGAUAAAGACAAAAUCACCAACAUAUGUUAACAUUGACUUUUCUUAUUUGGGGAAUUCUAGUGCUCAAUAGACGUUGAGAAGUCAUUUUCAGAACAGUGACUAUGAGUGAGGGCCUUUCUUCUUCUUCUUCUUCUUCUUCUUCUUUUCACUUUAAAUAACUUCUGAAUGGAGGGAGGAAGAAUGAUGUAUAUGUUGUAUAUACAUAUACACACACACACACACACACACACACACACACACACACACACACACACAUAUAUAUCUGUAUAGUUAUGAAAUCUCCUAUUUUUGGUAAUUUUGCUUUUUCUUUUUAUUCUUUAAAUAACUUCUGAAGGAAGGAAGAAUGAUACAUAUGUUGUACAUGAAUAUAUAUACUUUGUAUAAUCAUGUAUAACCAUGUUUAUUUGUGGGUAUUCUCAUAGUUAUACAAAAUUAUAUAUGAUUAUACAUAAGUAUACAAGAUUAUACAUAAUUAUAUAUGAUUAUAUUUGUGUGUUAACAAUGUAUAUAAGGUGUUUAAUAAUGUAAUUUUUUAUUUUUUCCAGUGAAAUAAGAAUUUCCCUUGCAAAACUUUAAAUUUUGCAAAAAACAUAUAAAAAUAAAAUUAUAGACUAAGGAUGAAUAUAUUUUUAAUUUACUUCAACUUCCUGAUAUUUUUUACUAUACAGAGGGAAGUAACAAUAAAUAAAAAUGAAAAUAGAAAAAAGGUAAAGAUAACAAUGAAAGAAAAAAGCGAAAUCUGAUUUACGCGUGAUUUUGGGUGUAGUUGAUGAAGUUGUUGGUUAGGCGCUGAAAUAAUUUGUGGGCUACCGCAUGAAAACUGUAAUUGUGGGUUAGGCGGCUGAAAAGUGCUUCCCCCAAGUGUACUUAUGUGAAAUUAUCCCUUUUUAUAAUGUUAGGGUCUCCUUUAUAUAAUAAGAGACCAUCCUCGAAAUAAUAAAAAAGGUACAAUUUAUAGAGAAUCUUCGAUAGAAUAUUCCUUCUGAGUUUUUAAAGAUAAACUAGAUGAUUCAUGGCUUGUACGUCCACGAACGUUGAUGAUGGUCCGACCUUGGUGUGUACGUCCACGUCCUUGGUGUGUACGUCCACGUCUUUAGUGUGUACGUCCAUGACAGUUGAGGAAGCCCACGUCCUGAGUGUGUACGUCCGUGACAGUUGAGGAUGCCCACGUCCUUGGUGUGUACAUCCACGGCCUUGAUCUCGUACCGAAUUUCUCUGAUCUAAUUUUGACCCGUGAAAUUGAGAACAAAAUUAGAAAGUAAAUUUCAGAAAAAUCAAAUUAAUUUUGUGAUUCAAAGACGUAUUUCAACUUCAGUUCUACUCGCAGAUUAUGGAGAUUUUCAAAAAUUAAUAUGAGAAAAGCUUAUUACAAGAAUCUUUAAUGUAAUUAAAUAAAAAAUAGCCUUCCAAAUACCAAUAGCUAGGAAAACGGAUGAAACUAUGAAGUUAAUUACUCUAAUUUCCUUUUUCUUUUACAUGAUGCUUAAGAAAAUAUUAAUCAAGAGGAGUUUUUGAUUAUUUUAUCCUUAUUUAAAAUCUCUUCAUUAUCGAGGAGUAGUCUUCAAAGACAAUUACUACUAUUAAGGAUAAAACAGAAAAAAAUAAUUAAUUUUAUCUUGAAUUUCUUAAAUAAUAAAUAAUUUAAAACAGUUUAUUUUUAAAAAAUACGACAGAUAAUAAUUUAUAAAUAGAAAAAAAAGUGUGGUUCAUUUGAAUACUUGACGUGUGAAGAGUUUGGUACACUACUAUUCCACGAUUAUUUUUAUAAAAUUCAUUUUUUGACUCCUUCCUUCAAUCAAGUUCAAAGACAAUCACAGGCUCUCUCCUUCUGUCUCCACGUUUCUAAUUUUCCUGAAUUGCAAAUCCUCAUUCUUCAAUUAUUCUUUUAAAUAUAUUUUCCAAAUAUAAUCUGUUUAAAUGAUAAUUAAAUUUUUGUGUCGCACCCCUUUUCUUUCCUAUGUCACCUCCUCAAGAACUUCAAUUUUUAGUUCAAAACGUCACUUCUUCUCUAAUCAUCCGACAACAGUCAUCAGUUUCUGCAAAAAUCAAGGUAACUCUUGUUCUAUUUUUCUAUAUGGAAUAUUAUCAUUUUCAGAAUUAGUCCUGGUGCAUCUAAACUGGCGUCGACACCAGUCAUCAAAAAUAAAGUUAGCUUUUUAUAAGUAUAACAAAUUAUGGUGAAUAUUUUAGCCAAAUUGUCCAAGAUUAGGCUCUAUUUGAUCAGUUUUUAAUUAUUAUCCCGUAUUUGUGCGGGUGGGAGGUGAAAUUAGUCAAAAUGUGCGCAAAUUUGUUAACAGCUUAACUCAUCGGAUUGAAGAAAAGAAAUGGAGAAGAUGAUGAACAGUAGAG